rnacentral:rRNA from 1 species
AAAUUGAAGAGUUUGAUCAUGGCUCAGAUUGAACGCUGGCGGCAGGCCUAACACAUGCAAGUCGAACGGUAACAGGAAGCAGCUUGCUGCUUCGCUGACGAGUGGCGGACGGGUGAGUAAUGUCUGGGAAACUGCCUGAUGGAGGGGGAUAACUACUGGAAACGGUAGCUAAUACCGCAUAAUGUCGCAAGACCAAAGAGGGGGACCUUCGGGCCUCUUGCCAUCGGAUGUGCCCAGAUGGGAUUAGCUAGUAGGUGGGGUAACGGCUCACCUAGGCGACGAUCCCUAGCUGGUCUGAGAGGAUGACCAGCCACACUGGAACUGAGACACGGUCCAGACUCCUACGGGAGGCAGCAGUGGGGAAUAUUGCACAAUGGGCGCAAGCCUGAUGCAGCCAUGCCGCGUGUAUGAAGAAGGCCUUCGGGUUGUAAAGUACUUUCAGCGGGGAGGAAGGGAGUAAAGUUAAUACCUUUGCUCAUUGACGUUACCCGCAGAAGAAGCACCGGCUAACUCCGUGCCAGCAGCCGCGGUAAUACGGAGGGUGCAAGCGUUAAUCGGAAUUACUGGGCGUAAAG